UCAUUCCUCUGGACUAUGGCGUUCCGGCUUGCCGGGAUGAGGAAAGUCCGGACAGCAGAGCACAGAGUGCCUCGCGAAAGCGGGGGUGUUUUUCGCUUCUGGCGGAGAACAACAGUUAGAGCAACAGAGACGAGUCUCCCGUGUUUCACGGGAGAGUGAAACGGGCAAUCCUCCUCGCUGCAACUGGCGAACUUCACCGCAAUGGACGUGCUCCCUUUUUUCUCGGCAUUUGUCGGGAUUCGGUGAUAAGGUUCCAGGCAUUAGACAAAUCAUAGUCAGCAGCUUGGAAACAAGUCCAUAAGUACCGAUAGGUCUAUUUUUGGCUUUGUUUCCAGGUUGCAAAACAGAAUCCGGCUUACUAGAGGGGUGGAGCU
rnacentral:RNase_P_RNA from 1 species